UACGAAGGGGGCUAGCGUUGUUCGGAAUUACUGGGCGUAAAGCGUAUGCAGGCGGACUUUUAAGUCGGGGGUGAAAUCCCGAGGCUCAACCUCGGAACUGCCUUCGAUACUGGAAGUCUUGAGUCCGGGUGAGGUGAGUGGAACUCCGAGUGUAGAGGUGAAAUUCGUAGAUAUUCGGAAGAACACCAGUGGCGAAGGCGGCUCACUGGCCCGGUACUGACGCUGAGAUACGAAAGCGUGGGGAGCAAACAGG
rnacentral:rRNA from 1 species